AGGGGACGGCCCUCAGCCCGCUCGGGGGCCCGGACGGCGCCAGCACAGCGCCCACACAACGCCGCGCCACGGCCCCCGCUUUAGAGAAGUCCCAGGAAACGGCGAGAAAGAAGAUACACUGGAAGCAGCACCGUGAACUGUUCCCCACCUGAAGGAAGAAGCUCGUUCCCUUUUGGCUCCAGGACUAUUCGGGGUGGGCCUGCUGCCCUGAAACUGAAAGGUGACAGCCUGCUGGCAGCCCUCGCUCGCUCUCGACGCCUCCUCUGUCUGGGCACCCACUCUGGCGGCGCUUGAGGAGCCCUUCAGCCCGCUGCUGCACUGUGGGAGCCCCUUCCUGGGACGGCCGAGGCCGGAGCCGGCUCCCUCAGCUUGCGGGGAGGUGUGGAGCGAGAGGCAUGGGCGGGAACCCGGACUGCGUGCGGCGCUUGCGGGCCACCUAGAGUUCCGGGUGGGCAUGGGCUUGGCGGGCUCCACACUCCGAGCGGCCGGCCGGCCCGCCGGCCCCGGGCAGUGAGGGGCUUAGCACCGGGGCCAGCAGCUGCGGAGGGUGCGCCGGGUCCCCCAGCAGUGCCGGCCCACCGGCGCUGCGCUCGAUUUCUCGCCAGGCCUUAGCCGCCUCCUCGCCUGGCAGAGCUCCGGACUUGCAGCCCGCCAUGCCUGAGCCUCCCCCCACCCCCCUGCCGCCAUGGGCUCCUGCGCAGCCCAAGCCUCCCGGACGAGCGCCUCCCCCUGCUCCACGGCGCCCGGUCCCACCUACCGCCCAAGGGCUGAGGAGUGCGGGCGCAGGGCGCGGGACUGGUAGGCAGCACCACCUGCAGCCCUGGUGUGGGAUCCACUGGGUAAAGUCAGCUGGGCUCCUGAAUCUAGUGGAGACUUGGAGAACAUUUAUGUCUAGCUAAGGGAUUGUAAAUACACCAAUCGGCACCCUGUAUCUAGCUCAAGGUUUGUAAACACACCAAUCAGCACCCUGUGUCUAGUUCAGGGUUUAUGGAUGCACCAAUCAGUGCUCUGUAUCUAGCUAAUCUGGUGGAGACUUGGAGAAUCUUUAUAUCUAGCUAAGGGACUGUGAAUACACCACUGGGGCUGUGUAUCUAGCUCAAGGUUUGUGGAUGCACCAAUCAGCACUCUGUGUCUAGCUCAAGGUUUGUAAGUGCACCAAUCAGCGCUCUGUGUCUAGCUAGCUGAUCUGGUGGGGACUUGGAGAACCUUUAUGUCUAGCGAAGGGAUUGUGAAUACACCAAUCGCCACUCUGUAUCUAGCUCAAGGUUUGUAAAUGCACCAAUCAGCACUCUGUAUCUAGCUAAUCUAGUGGGGAUGUGGAGAACUUUUGUGUCUAGCUCAGGGAUUGUAAACGCACCAAUCAGCACCCUGCCAAAACGGACCAAUCAGCUCUCUGUAAAACAGACCAAUCGGCUCUCUGUAAAAUGGACCAAUCAUCAGGAUGUGGGUGGGGCCAGAUAAGUGAAUAAAAGCAGACUGCCCAAGCCAGUAGUGGUAGCCCACUCAAAUUCCUUUUAAUACUAAAGAAGCUGUGUUCUUUUGUUCUGUGAUAAAUCUUGCUGUUGCUCACUCUUUGGGUCUGCAUUACCUUUAUGAGCUCUAACACUAAUGGCAGAGGCCUGCAGGCUCACUCCUGAGGCCAGGGAAACCACGAGUCCACCAGAAGGAAUGAACGACCCUGGAGGCGCAGCCUUAAGAAGUGUAACACACUGCGAAAGUCUGCAGCUUCACUCCUGAACCAGCGAAACCACGAACCCGCCAGAAAGAAAAAACUCCAAACACAGCCCAACAUCAGAAGGAACAAACUCUGGACACACCGCCUUUAAGAACUGUAACACUCACCGCGAGGGUCCACAGCUUUAUUCUUGAAGUCAGUGAGACCAAGAACCCACCUAAUCCUGGACACAAAACCAGCUCAAUCUCCUAAAGACUGAAAGCCCUGGUGUGGCUGGGACCAGGGGCAAGAUGUGGAACACGUGGGGAAGAUGAGAAGGCGCUGGAGAAGGAGGGUGGUGGUCGCAGAUGGGAAUGUACUGAGGCCAGUGAGCUGUGCAGACACAAAACCCUAUCUAAUCACAAGAAAAACAGCAGACACCUCCCACCUGAGAGGAUAGCGGGCCAGGCCUCCUCAAAACUGACGGGCUCAUCAGCAACAAGGAAAGUGUGAGGAACUCUCAGCUUGGGAGGAGCCUGCGGAAACUGACUACAACCACCACUUGCAACGGGGCAUCCUCGGCGGGCUCCCAGACCAGAAAAUGACAUCAGAAGGAAAGACUGAAAAAAGGAUUCAAGAGAAAGUGAUAAUAUUGAAGACGGGAAGAAACUGUGACAUACAGAUAAUAGGAGUCCCUGAAGAAGAAAUCCAAAGUGAACAGAACACUGAAAUUUGUAAAUCAAGAAAAGUUUCCUGAAAUAAAAUAAUUUGAAACU